rnacentral:misc_RNA from 1 species
AACUUUUGACAACGGAUCACUUGGCUCUCGCAUCGAUGAAGAACGCAGCGAAAUGCGAUAAGUAAUGUGAAUUGCAGAAUUCAGUGAACCAUCGAAUCUUUGAACGCACCUUGCACCCUUUGGCAUUCCGAAGGGUAUGCUCGUUUGAGUGUCAUUGUACUCUCACACUCCCGAUCUUUGGAUUGGGAGUGGUGGACUUGGGUGUUGCUGCUUCACCGUGGCUCACCUCAAAUGGAGUAGUGCAACUCUUGGUUGGACAUAGUACGGCGUGAUAAGUGUCUUCGCCGGCACCUCACUAGAGGGUGGCUGAUCAGGAGCUCUGUGCUUCAAACCGUCUUCGGACAACUACUGACAACUUGACCUCAAAUCGAGUAGGACUACCCGCUGAACUUAAGCAUAUCAAUAAGCGGAGGCU